UGAUCGGUGCUUGCACCGAGAUUCAACAUGGAACGAGUGGCGGACGGGUGAGUAACACGUGGGUAACCUGCCCUUAAGUGGGGGAUAACAUUUGGAAACAGAUGCUAAUACCGCAUAGAUCCAAGAACCGCAKGGUUCUUGGCUGAAAGAUGGCGUAAGCUAUCGCUUUUGGAUGGACCCGCGGCGUAUUAGCUAGUUGGUGAGGUAAUGGCUCACCAAGGCGAUGAUACGUAGCCGAACUGAGAGGUUGAUCGGCCACAUUGGGACUGAGACACGGCCCAAACUCCUACGGGAGGCAGCAGUAGGGAAUCUUCCACAAUGGACGCAAGUCUGAUGGAGCAACGCCGCGUGAGUGAAGAAGGCUUUCGGGUCGUAAAACUCUGUUGUUGGAGAAGAAUGGUCGGCAGAGUAACUGUUGUCGGCGUGACGGUAUCCAACCAGAAAGCCACGGCUAACUACGUGCCAGCAGCCGCGGUAAUACGUAGGUGGCAAGCGUUAUCCGGAUUUAUUGGGCGUAAAGCGAGCGCAGGCGGUUUUUUAAGUCUGAUGUGAAAGCCCUCGGCUUAACCGAGGAAGCGCAUCGGAAACUGGGAAACUUGAGUGCAGAAGAGGACAGUGGAACUCCAUGUGUAGCGGUGAAAUGCGUAGAUAUAUGGAAGAACACCAGUGGCGAAGGCGGCUGUCUGGUCUGUAACUGACGCUGAGGCUCGAAAGCAUGGGUAGCGAACAGGAUUAGAUACCCUGGUAGUCCAUGCCGUAAACGAUGAAUGCUAGGUGUUGGAGGGUUUCCGCCCUUCAGUGCCGCAGCUAACGCAUUAAGCAUUCCGCCUGGGGAGUACGACCGCAAGGUUGAAACUCAAAGGAAUUGACGGGGGCCCGCACAAGCGGUGGAGCAUGUGGUUUAAUUCGAAGCAACGCGAAGAACCUUACCAGGUCUUGACAUCUUUUGAUCACCUGAGAGAUCAGGUUUCCCCUUCGGGGGCAAAAUGACAGGUGGUGCAUGGUUGUCGUCAGCUCGUGUCGUGAGAUGUUGGGUUAAGUCCCGCAACGAGCGCA
rnacentral:rRNA from 1 species